AUCAGGGUGCUCUCCCCGCAGACACAGAAAGCUGGUGGUUCAACAUUUACCAGCACACCACUGGCUAUGAGUGCAAUAGGCGCAACACCCUUGUUAUUUCUUUCAGAUUAUUUGUAUUUUCCAGCCAGGCAUGGUGGCUCACGCCUGUAAUCCCAGCACUUCGGGAGGCCGAGGCGGGCGGAUCACGAGGUCAGGAGAUCGAGACCAACCUGCCUAACAUGGUUUAACAAGACUUACACGGUGUCUUUCAUUUCAGUGCCUAUUACUCAUUUCAGUGAUUCAGUUGACCCAGACAGGAGGAAAGCAAAUGGACAUGAGGUUUUGAACUCCUCAAAGAUGGAAUCCAUGCAUUGUUCGUCUCUGCAACCCUGAUGUCCAAAAACAUGUUUGACAGAUGAGCAAAUGAUGAAUAAAAGUAGGGUGCUUCACUUUG